rnacentral:SRP_RNA from 1 species
GCCAGGAGCUGUGGCGCCUGCCUGUAGUCCCAGCUACUCGGGAGGCUGAGGUGGGAGGAUCGCUUGAGCCCAGGAGUUCUGGGCUGUAGCGCGCUAUGCCGAUCAGGUGUCCGCACUAAGUUCAGCAUCAAUAUGGUGACCUCCCGGGAGCGGGGGACCACCAGGUUGCCUAAGGAAGGGUGAACUGGUCCAGGUCGGAAAUGGAGCAGGUCAAAACUCCUGUGCUGAUCAGUAGUGGAAUCGAGCCUGUGAAUAGCCACUGCACUCCAGCCUAGGCAACAUAGCGAGACCCCGUCUCCU